rnacentral:rRNA from 1 species
GAUGAACGCUGGCGGCGUGCUUAACACAUGCAAGUCGAACGGUGAACACGGAGCUUGCUCUGUGGGAUCAGUGGCGAACGGGUGAGUAACACGUGGGCAACCUGCCCCUGACUCUGGGAUAAGCGCUGGAAACGGCGUCUAAUACUGGAUAUGUGACGUGAUCGCAUGGUCUGCGUCUGGAAAGAAUUUCGGUUGGGGAUGGGCUCGCGGCCUAUCAGCUUGUUGGUGAGGUAAUGGCUCACCAAGGCGUCGACGGGUAGCCGGCCUGAGAGGGUGACCGGCCACGCUGGGACUGAGACACGGCCCAGACUCCUACGGGAGGCAGCGGUGGGGAAUAUUGCACAAUGGGCGCAAGCCUAAUGCAGCAACGCCGCGUGGGGGAUGACGGCAUUCGGGUUGUAAACCUCUUUUAGCAGGGAAGAAGCGAAAGUGACGGUACCUGCAGAAGAAGCGCCGGCUAACUACGUG